CCGCGUGUGGCGCAGGCAAGGACCCUGAAAAUAAACAGCCGCUGCUUUGCGAGUCUCCUUCUUGGGUCUACGUCCGAGUCUCCUCUGCUGUGGGCAGCUCAGACGCCGAAGCUCUAACUGCAGCUAUGAGCAGCAACGAAUGCUUCAAGUGUGGACGAUCUGGCCACUGGGCCAGGGAAUGCCCUACUGGUGGAGGUCGGGGUCGUGGAAUGAGAAGCCGCGGCAGAGGUGGUUUUACCUCGGAUAGAGGGUUCCAGUUUGUUUCCUCGUCUCUUCCUGACAUCUGUUAUCGCUGUGGUGAGUCUGGUCAUCUUGCCAAGGAUUGUGAUCUUCAGGAGGAUGUCUUGGUCUGCUUCUUUUCCUUAUUGUUGAAGCCUGCUAUAACUGCGGUAGAGGUGGCCACAUUGCCAAGGACUGCAAGGAGCCCAAGAGAGAGCGAGAGCAAUGCUGCUACAACUGUGGCAAGCCAGGCCAUCUGGCUCGUGACUGUGACCACGCGGACGAGCAGAAGUGCUAUUCCUGUGGGGAAUUUGGACAUAUUCAAAAAGACUGCACCAAGGUGAAGUGCUAUAGGUGUGGUGAAACUGGUCAUGUAGCCAUCAAUUGCAGCAAGACAAGUGAAGUCAACUGUUACCGCUGUGGCGAGUCAGGGCAUCUUGCACGGGAAUGCACAAUUGAGGCUACUGCCUAAUUAUUUUCCUUUGUCGCCCCUCCUUUUUCUGAUUGAUGGUUGUAUUAUUUUCUCUGAAUCCUCUUCACUGGCCAAAGGUUGGCAGAUAGAGGCUGUUCCCAGGCCAGUGAGCUUUACUUGCAGUGUAAAAGGAGGAAAGGGGUGGAAAAAAAACCGAAUUUCUGCAUUUAACUACAAAAAAAAGUUUAUGUUUAGUUUGGUAGAGGUGUUAUGUAUAAUGCUUUGUUAAAGAACCCCCUUUCCGUGCCACUGGUGAAUAGGGAUUAAUGAAUGGGAAGAGUUCAGUCAGACCAGUAAGCCCUUCUGGGUUUGAGUGUGUUCCCAUGUAGGAGGUAAAACCAAUUCUGGAUGCAUCUAAGCUUCCAUGAAUAACUUUAAUUCUUAGCAUAAUGAUGGCCUUGGAUUGUCUGACCUCAGUAGCUAUUAAAUAACAUCGAGUAACAUCUGCAUCAGGCCCUCAUAGAACAUUCAGUUGAGUUGGGAGUAAACUGAAAAGACAAAUGUG
rnacentral:lncRNA from 1 species